rnacentral:tRNA from 2 species
GCGGCAGUAGCUCAGGGGUAGAGCAUUUGCUUCCCAAGCAAAGGGUCGAGGGUUCGAAUCCCUUCUGCCGCUCCA